CAGUCGCCGCGGGAAUACGAAGGGUGCAAGCGUUAAUCGGAAUUACUGGGCGUAAAGCGUGCGUAGGCGGUGAGUUAAGUCUGCUGUGAAAUCCCCGGGCUCAACCUGGGAAUGGCAGUGGAUACUGGCUCGCUAGAGUGUGUCAGAGGAUGGUGGAAUUCCCGGCGUAGCGGUGAAAUGCGUAGAGAUCGGGAGGAACAUCAGUGGCGAAGGCGGCCAUCUGGGACAACACUGACGCUGAGGCACGAAAGCGUGGGGAGCAAACAGGAUUAGAUACCCCAGUAGUCCCUGUCUCUUAUAC
rnacentral:rRNA from 1 species